UUAUCCUUGCUCGCGAGGAAAGUUGUAGUUCCCUCGCCACAAAAUGGCGAACGGCGGAGAACUACACCUCCCGGCGUGCCCCGCGCGCCCGCCCGCCGAUUGGCUGCGGGGCGAGGAACCCCCUUCGCCACGCUCGUCCUUCUCCCCUCCCCCGCCUCUCUGCGUUGGUUUCCCCCUCCCUCUUGUCUCCCCCCCACCCCCCCCUGCGGCGCUCGGUGGUAGAGGCUGGGGGGGGUCCGGGGGGCUUGCACGGCAGGAGGAGGAGGAGGAGAGCGAAGGGGAAGUUUAUUGGGAAUCGCUGACAGGGAGUGGGGAGGCAGGCAGGCGCCGCGGGAGGCUGCCGGGAGAGCACGGGGAUUAAUGUGUCUGGGUUGGGCUGGGAAGUGGCGGCACGAAAACUUUGUGUCUGUGGGCUGCGCCCGCCGAGGAGGCGGCGGUCUGGGUCGGCCGGACAGGCGGACAGACAGACCGCCGGCUGGACAGAGAGACCGCCUGCCGGGCGGGCGGGCGGUGUCAGCUCGGGACAGGCUGCCGGGCUGGGCUCUGCGAGGCUCGCCCGGUGUGUCUCCAAGGUGUCCUGAGGUCGCGCCUCCUCUGCUGCCGGCGCCGCCGCGCUGGGGCUGCCCCGCGGGACCUGGCCCGGUGGUCCGGCGCUCCCGAGAAUAACCUUUCUGUGUGGAUGGAUGUGUGCUUUCAAAUCCCGCCGGAAGCUCGGCGGUUUCCCAGGAGCAGCGGCCCGUCCGCGCCGAGAGCUGGUGCCGAGGCCGGGCAGCGCCGCCCUGCCCGAUCCCCGGCGGGAUCUGCCACGGGACCCGCCGGGCGACACCUGGAAACCCGGUGUCAGUGAGAAAUCCUGACAUUCGAUUAAAUUAUUUUUUUUCCCCUUAAGUUAAAACAAAAAAUAGUGGGAAACUGGGUGCGAAGUGGAAGGUGCAUCUUCAGUGAAAACCCAACAGUUCUUUAAUGGCGGAUUAAGCUGUUGGAGGAAAUCCAGAGGAGGGUCACGAAGUUGAUAAGAGAACUGGAGCACCUCUCCUUCAAAGACAGGCUGAUAAAGUUGCGGCUGUUCAGCCUGGGGAAGAGGAGGUUGCAUGGAGACCUCAUAGCAACCUUUCAGUAUCUGCAGAGGACCUACAUGGAAGCUGGAGAGGACCUCGUCGUCAGGAAAUGCAGUGAUAGAACAGGGAAAAAUGGGGACACGGAAGAAAGAGAGUCAUUGAUGAUCUCCCUGGUGAGGUAUCACCAUACCCAGUAGCCAUUUGUACUUUUCUGUACAACUCUGGCAUAAACUCUGAGCAAGUUUCAUCCUGGUCACUUCCAGCUAUAACUGUGCCUUGAAGAUGUUUGAGAGAUAAAACAAUAGGCACAAGCAGUACAGGGAAGGCAGAAAGAACAUGGGGUGAAUUCAAGAGCCAUAAUUCAACAGUCAGCAAACAAAGGGCAUGAUGCCAGACAAGUUCAGCCAUAAAGGAGCCUUGUCUUGGGGGCAGGCUGUGAUUGUUUGUGGACA